AUACGGAGGAUGCGAGCGUUAUCCGGAUUCAUUGGGUUUAAAGGGUGCGCAGGCGGACUAUUAAGUCAGCGGUGAAAAGUAUGCGCUUAACGCAUAUCUUGCCUUUGAAACUGGUUGACUAGGAUACGUAUGCUGUGGGAGGAAUGUGUAGUGUAGCGGUGAAAUGCAUAGAUAUUACACAGAACACCGAUUGAGAAGGCAUCUCACAAAUACGUCAUUGACGCGGAGGCACGAAAGUGCGGGGAUCAAACAGGAUUAGAUACCCUGGUAGUCCGCACAGUAAACGAUGAUAACUCGCUGUUGGUUCGGAAGAAUCAGUGGCCAAGCGAAAGCGAUAAGUUAUCCACCUGGGGAGUACGACCGCAAGGUUGAAACUCAAAUGAAUUGACGGGG
rnacentral:rRNA from 1 species